rnacentral:rRNA from 1 species
CUAGUGCUGUUGUCGCUCUCUCAAAAAAAUCGCUCCGUAACUUCGGGAUAAGGAGCGCCCCAGUAGGGUGAAGCACCUCGCGUGCGGAGCCUGAGAGGGCCGCAGUGAAUAGGUUCAACCGACUGUUUACCAAAAACACAGGGCUCUGCUAAGUCGCAAGACGACGUAUAGGGUCUGACGUCUGCCCGGUGCCGGAAGGUUACGUGGAGGUGUUAGGAGCAAUCCGAAGCACUGAAACUAAGCCCCGGUAAACGGCGGCGGUAACGAUAUCCGUCCUAAGGUAGCGAAAUUCCUUGUCGGGUAAGUUCCGACCUGCACGAAUGGCGUAACGAGUUGAACGCUGUCUCAACGAUGGGCUCGGUGAAAUUGCAGUCUCGGUGAAGAUGCCGAGUACCCGUGGCUAGACGGAAAGACCCCGUGCACCUUUACUAUAACCUGGUAUUGGAGUGUGGUGCAUCUCGCUCAGGAUAGGAGGGAGUCUUUGAAGCAUCGGCUGCGGCUGGUGUGGAGACAACCUUGAGAUACCUCCCUUGAUGUACUGCGCUUCUAACACUGCGACCGUAAUCCGGGCAGUGAACAGUGCCAGGCGGGUAGUUUGACUGGGGCGGUCGCCUCCCAAAAUGUAACGGAGGCGCGCAAAGGUUCCCUCAGUACGGUUGGAAAUCGUACGUAGAGUGCAAAAGCAAUAAGGGAGCUUGACUGUGAGACCGACAGGUCGAGCAGGUGCGAAAGCAGGCUUUAGUGAUCCGGCAGUAGCAAGUGGAAGUGCUGUCGCUCAACGGAUAAAAGGUACGCCGGGGAUAACAGGCUUAUCGAGUCCAAGAGUCCACAUCGACGACUCGGUUUGGCACCUCGAUGUCGGCUCGUCGCAUCCUGGGGCUGUAGUAGGUCCCAAGGGUUGGGCUGUUCGUCCAUUAAAGCGGUACGCGAGCUGGGUUCAGAACGUCGUGAGACAGUUCGGUCCCUAUCUGCCAUGGGCGUUGGAGAAUUGAAAGGAUUCGUCCCUAGUACGAGAGGACCGGGAUGAACGCACCUCUGGUGUAUCUGUUGUCCUGCCAAGGGCAUCGCAGGUUAGCUACGUGCGGAUCGGAUAACCGCUGAAGGCAUCUAAGCGGGAAGCCGGCCUUGAGAUGAAUUCUCCCACCUCCUUGAGAGGGUAAGACCCCUAGUAGACCACUAGGUUGAUAGGCUGGAUCUGGAAGAGCGGUAACGCUCGUAGGAGACCAGUACUAAUGGGUCGAGGGCUUGACGG